UUUUAUAUACGGAUUAUCCGUAUAUAAUCUUANCUACAACCCAAUUAUAUACGAAUUUUUGGCCGUAUAUAAUUCGUAUAUAACACCACUUUAUAUACAGAUUUUUGAAGUUAUAUACGGAUUUCGGCCGUAUAUAAUUGCGAUUUUUCUUGUAGUGGGGUUUUCCGACGAAUGUUUCCUUCAGUAAAUGAAGGGUCCAUUACCGACGGAUUUACCGAGGGAUAUUUUCCUUCGGUAAAUGUAGGGACUAUUACCGACGGAUUUAUCGACGGAUUUCUUCCUUUGGUAAAUGAAUGGUCUCUUACCGACGGAUUUAUCGACGGAUUUUUUUCUUUGGUAGAUUUAAACUGCGUUAUUGACGGAUUUAUCGAUGGAUUAUUCCUUCGGUAAUGAUUCUGUCGGUAAAAUCCGUCGGCAAGAAAAAAAAAUUGCAUUCCNUUGAUAAAAUUCGUCGGUAAAUUACAAUUACCGACGAAAAUAUUUCCGUCGGUAAUUAUCAGAUUUCUUGUGUCCCUGCCCAAUGUGGGGGUGUGAUAACUCCCAAAAUUUUCUUUUUUUUUUCUAUGCUUAGGAGUCUAUGUUAGUCCAAUUUAGUUUCUAAUUGUCUAAAAUUAGGUUAGUUUUAGAAAAUUUCUUUAAAUUUGUAGUUAUGUAAAAUUUUAGUUAAAAAUAGAUUUUUAGAUGUAAAUUUGAGUCUUUGUUAAUAAUUAGAAAAUUUAUAUUUUAUUAAAAAAANUUAAUAAAAAUUUUUCUUUAUAAUUGUUAAAUUCCUUUUCUUUUCUUUAAUUGAUUUUUUUUCUUUUUCUUUGAUGUAGAUAUGAAAUAAAAUGGGAUGUUAC
rnacentral:lncRNA from 1 species